rnacentral:rRNA from 1 species
AGAGUUUGAUCCUGGCUCAGGAUGAACGCUAGCUACAGGCUUAACACAUGCAAGUCGAGGGGCAGCAUUUUAGUUUGCUUGCAAACUAAAGAUGGCGACCGGCGCACGGGUGAGUAACACGUAUCCAACCUGCCGAUAACUCGGGGAUAGCCUUUCGAAAGAAAGAUUAAUAUCCGAUAGUAUAUUAAAACCGCAUGGUUUUACUAUUAAAGAAUUUCGGUUAUCGAUGGGGAUGCGUUCCAUUAGUUUGUUGGCGGGGUAACGGCCCACCAAGACUACGAUGGAUAGGGGUUCUGAGAGGAAGGUCCCCCACAUUGGAACUGAGACACGGUCCAAACUCCUACGGGAGGCAGCAGUGAGGAAUAUUGGUCAAUGGACGAGAGUCUGAACCAGCCAAGUAGCGUGAAGGAUGACUGCCCUAUGGGUUGUAAACUUCUUUUAUAUGGGAAUAAAGUAUUCCACGUGUGGAAUUUUGUAUGUACCAUAUGAAUAAGGAUCGGCUAACUCCGUGCCAGCAGCCGCGGUAAUACGGAGGAUCCGAGCGUUAUCCGGAUUUAUUGGGUUUAAAGGGAGCGUAGGUGGAUUGUUAAGUCAGUUGUGAAAGUUUGCGGCUCAACCGUAAAAUUGCAGUUGAAACUGGCAGUCUUGAGUACAGUAGAGGUGGGCGGAAUUCGUGGUGUAGCGGUGAAAUGCUUAGAUAUCACGAAGAACUCCGAUUGCGAAGGCAGCUCACUAGACUGCAACUGACAUUGAGGCUCGAAAGUGUGGGUAUCAAACAGGAUUAGAUACCCUGGUAGUCCACACGGUAAACGAUGAAUACUCGCUGUUUGCGAUAUACAGCAAGCGGCCAAGCGAAAGCGUUAAGUAUUCCACCUGGGGAGUACGCCGGCAACGGUGAAACUCAAAGGAAUUGACGGGGGCCCGCACAAGCGGAGGAACAUGUGGUUUAAUUCGAUGAUACGCGAGGAACCUUACCCGGGCUUAAAUUGCAGAUGAAUUACGGUGAAAGCCGUAAGCCGCAAGGCAUCUGUGAAGGUGCUGCAUGGUUGUCGUCAGCUCGUGCCGUGAGGUGUCGGCUUAAGUGCCAUAACGAGCGCAACCCUUGUUGUCAGUUACUAACAGGUUCCGCUGAGGACUCUGACAAGACUGCCAUCGUAAGAUGUGAGGAAGGUGGGGAUGACGUCAAAUCAGCACGGCCCUUACGUCCGGGGCUACACACGUGUUACAAUGGGGGGUACAGAGGGCCGCUACCACGCGAGUGGAUGCCGAUCCCAAAAACCUCUCUCAGUUCGGAUUGAAGUCUGCAACCCGACUUCAUGAAGCUGGAUUCGCUAGUAAUCGCGGAUCAGCAUGCCGCGGUGAAUACGUUCCCGGGCCUUGCACACACCGCCCGUCACACCA